UCUCAGAGAGCCCAAUCUAAUUUGAAUGUGAUUCGGAGGCAUGUUCAACUUUCAGAACCAGACCAGCAGACAGAGGAGAUUGGCAGGACAGAGAAGCGCAGGGAGUGGGAUGAUGACCCAGCAGAGAGGACCCCAGGACAUUAGAAAAGUCCUUCAAUUCAGCAGCUUCUGACCAUUUAGGAAGGUUUUGAACUCUAUCUGCGAUAUGAAUUUGGAAGUGACUUGUUAGAGGACUG